AUCCGGUUGAAGAGUCUCAAAUUGGACGAAACGCAUGUUCUGGAU
rnacentral:hammerhead_ribozyme from 1 species